CCCUUAGAUGUUCUGGGCCGCACGCGUGCUACACUGAGUGGAUCAGCGGGUCAGGUUGCGCGAAAGUGUUUCCUAAUCUUUAAAUCCGCUCGUGAUGGGGAUUGACGGUUGCAAUUUUCCGUCAUGAACGAGGAAUACCUUGUAAGCGCGGGUCAUCAUCCCGCGCUGAAUACGUCCCUGCCCUUUGUACACACCGCCCGUCGCUCCUACCGAUUGAGUGGUCCGGUGAGGCUUUGGGAUCUGAGCGGAAAGAGCGUUUCGCUGUUUCUGCCCGGAAAACUCAGUCGAACCUUAUCUUUUAGAGGAAGGAGAAGUCGUAACA
rnacentral:rRNA from 1 species